rnacentral:rRNA from 1 species
UGCGGAGGGAUCAUUACCGAGUUUACAACUCCCAAACCCCUGUGAACAUACCUAUUUGUUGCCUCGGCGGUGCCUGUUCCGACAGCCCGCCAGAGGACCCCAAACCCUGAUUACAUUUAAGAAGUCUUCUGAGUAAACCGAUUAAAUAAAUCAAAACUUUCAACAACGGAUCUCUUGGUUCUGGCAUCGAUGAAGAACGCAGCGAAAUGCGAUAAGUAAUGUGAAUUGCAGAAUUCAGUGAAUCAUCGAAUCUUUGAACGCACAUUGCGCCCGCUAGUAUUCUGGCGGGCAUGCCUGUCCGAGCGUCAUUUCAACCCUCAAGCCCCCGGGCUUGGUGUUGGGGAUCGGCGAGCCUCCGCGCCCGCCGUCCCCUAAAUCUAGUGGCGGUCUCGCUGUAGCUUCCUCUGCGUAGUAGCACACCUCGCACUGGGAAACAGCGCGGCCACGCCGUUAAACCCCCAACUUCUGAACGUUUGACCUCGGAUCAGGUAGGAAUACCCGCUGAACUUAAGCAUAUCAAUAG